GGGGUUGUGGCUCAGAGGAGAGUGAUCACCUAGCACAUGUGAGGCCCUGGGUUCGAUCCUCAGCACCACA
rnacentral:tRNA from 1 species